GAUGAAGAACGCAGUGAAAUGCGAUAAGUAGUGUGAAUUGCAGAAUUCAGUGAAUCAUCGAAUCUUUGAACGCACAUUGCGCCCCUUGGUAUCCCGAGGGGCAUGCCUGUUCGAGCGUCAUUAUCACCCCUCAAGCUCAGCUUGGUGUUGGGGCCGGCCCGUCACAGGGCCGCCCCUAAAAGCAGUGGCGGUGCCAUCUGGCUCUACGCGUAGUAAUACUCCUCGCGACAGAGUCCCGGUGGUGUCCUGCCAGAACCCCCCAUCUUUUUAAUGAUUGACCUCGGAUCAGGUAGGGAUACCCGCUGAACUUAAGCAUAUCAAUAAGCGGAGGA
rnacentral:misc_RNA from 1 species